CCAAUGCAGAGCUCAAACUCACAAACCGCGAGAUCAUGACCUGAGCCGAAUUCGGUUGCUUAACCAACUGAGCCACCCAGGCGCCCUCAACACACAGUUCUUAAUAAAUGUUUAUUGACCUUGCUGAAAGGGGAUUAUAUAGUGGAAAACACGACAGUGUCCGUUUGUUCUCAGGAAUAGAAACUAUCCAUACAAGAUUUUGAAAAAAAUUUCGGAAAGUCAAUUGCUUUACCUCUCAGCAGCCUGGAGAUCACAGUUUCUGGUAAAUUGGUGACACUGAGGUUGCUGCUGGCCUCAGAGGGACUGCCCAGCAGUCUCGGACUUGCCUGCCGCAGGGCAGCAUGUUCUCCCCACCCCCCGGCGCUGCCGGCUCAGGCCAGUCCUGUUGACUGCGUGUUCUGCAAGAGGGCAAUUGGGAGGUUACCGGCCCAAGCAAUGUAACCACCAUCUCUCAGCGACCUGGGUUUGCAGUCUCUAAUGGGAGCACCCAUUUGUGUCAUGGGUCCUCAACUUUUUAAGACCUCCUUGCAUCUAAGAAACCUCAUCUAAUGAGAAGUUCCUUCUUUCCACUGACUUCCUGCCAGGAGGAGAUUUUCGUAUGGGGUAGAAAAAGGGGAUGAGGCAGAGCCAGGUAUGAGAGCCAGUGUCCUGUGGAAUGGAAAGGAAUCUUCCAUUUGUGGGGUAAGGGUGCUGUGCUGGAGGACACAAUAUAGAACCCCCCCCCCCCCAGCCCUAAGUAAACAGACCAGUUGCUUAGCACAGUUUCUGUAGUGAUUUUUGCACAUGUAUGAUUCCAAGGCUAUUUUUGUUAAACAUCUGACAAGGGUGCAUCUUUUGGUGAAUUCCCAUCACGUUUUUCUGGACCCACCAAAACUUUCAGAUUCUUUACCCAAACGCCAAAAGUCUAAAUGCUUGGUAGGUUAUGCCCCCCUCUUCCCACCUUUCCUCUCCUCGAUCUUUUGCCUAAGCAGUUCCCAGGGAAAAAGACUCAUUAUUUAUUUAUUGUUUGUUUGUUUGUUUGUUUGGAGAAUCCCAAGCAGUUCUGCUCUGUCAGCACAGAGCCAACUCAGGGCUCGACCUCAUAAGCCGUGAGAUCGUGACCUGAGCCGAAAUCAAGUUAGACACUUAACCAACCGACUGAGCUACCCAAGCACCCCUUUUUUUGUUUGUCUGUUUUAGUUUGUAGUAAGAAAUGUUUAUUUCUAAAAAUAUAUAUAUUUCUACUGCUGAAAUUAGUGAUUGUCAGAGGAAGUGUGAUAGGACCCCCGAUCUCGUAGCCCACCUACGUGUAUAACCAUGUAGCCUCCGGCCCUGGGCCAUGUGACCCCCCCCCCCCACUUUACCUAGCAUCUUGCCCCCACAAGAUUAAAACCCACUGGUUUUGAUAUUGAACAUUGCUGCCUUUCCUUUAGGAUGGCCUAUUCGUGCAAGGUGCUGUUACUCAAAGCACUGAGGGUAGAGAGAAAGACCUUUCCUCAGCCACACACAGUUUGCAUAACCGCACUUACCUAUUAAAACAUGUAUUUUUUUUACUUGUUACAUUUGGUAUGAGAUUUACUUUUCUAGCGAGAGUGAGGUUGAGUGCGGUGAGAAGUGUCAUGUAAACAGGAGCUCUAACCACUAGACACGUAUGAUUUUUGUCCAAAGAUUCUGGCAUUUAUUCUAUCCCCAACCUGGUUCAGAAGCAAAGGUUUCAAAAAACACAGGGGCCCAAGUCCCAUCUCCAGUAAUUCUGAUUUAAAUGAUAUAAAGGGGGUCCCGGGGUCUCAAAAAUCCCCCAGAGAAUUCUCAUAUGCAACCUGCAGUGAGAACGACUCACUUACAACACCUAUCCCCCCCAAAUCUCCUUGCCUAGGGGGAGGCUCCCAGCCAGACCAGUGGGUCUCAAAUGUUUAGAAACACCUUGGAGGUACUUGCUCGUGGUCCACAGCCUGGCCUCUCACUUAAGGACCCUGAUUCAGAAUGUCUAGAGCAGGGCCCAGGCAAGUGUUUUGUAAUCCAGCAGCCAGGAGUGGCUCACACAAGUGGGCCAGACUUUGGAAAGCUCCGAAUGAUAUCCCAGCCAGCCAGGCUCCUCACCCAUCAGCUCUAGUCAGGAAGUAUGGAAAUGUUUUGGGUGGUUACCUGGAAUCAAAUAGUACACUGUACCCACAAACAUCAGAACUUCAUAACAGAAGAAUGCAAUGUUAAACAUAACUAACCUGCUUGUCCUUGAAAGCUCUAUUCUUUUUUUUUUUUUGAAUGUUUAUUUAUUUUUGAAACAGAGAGAGACAGAGCUCGAGCAGGGGAGGGGUAGAGAGAGAGGGAGACACAGAAUCCAAAGCAGGCUCUAGGCUCUGAGCUGUCAGCACAGCUGACGUGGGUCUCGAACCCACGAACUGUGAGAUCGUGACCUGAGCCGAAGUCCGACGCUUAACCGACUGAGCCAUCCAGGUGCCCUGAAAGCUCCAUUCUUGAACUGGCACUCACUCUGAUUUCUUUUCACGAGCCCUGAAACUGUACCCAAAACUGCCUGUGGAUUUGCCCGAAGGAAGGUUUUUCUUGAAAAUGGCAUCAAGCGCAGGGAGCACCCAUUGUGUGUCGAACUGAAAUGAUCGCUGGGGUGUGUGGAGAUCAGUCAGAUUCAGACCCUGCUGUCCACAAAAAGUAGAUUGGACUGGGUAGAAUAGACUCAUGUCCAGGUAGCUAGAAUGUAACAGUUAAAACGAUCAUUGCAACAGAAAGAAAGCAAGAGGAGGAAAUGGUUCCUGGGCCUUGAGUGUUGCAAAGUAUCCCAGAGAAAACAAUAUCUGGAUAUGCAGAUUUCCCCUCUCCCUCAUCCCAGAGGGACAAGAGAAGAAAGGCACUCUAGGCCAGAGAGACAGGUGGCAUGGCCACCUUGGAGCCAUGGCCAUGCAUGACAACAGUACAGAGGGUGCAGAGCAGCAAAGAACAUAAGAAAGAUAGUGUAAAGCCAGAUGGAAAUGGGCUUUGGAUGCCAUGCUAAGGAGUUUGGAAUUUUUCAUUAGGCGGUGAGAAGUCAUCAGAGAUAUUUAUACGAGGGUGUGACAUGAUUUCAGAAUAUGAUUCUAAUAACAAAGAGGUGAGUAGAUUGCAGGGGAGAGGAAAACCAGGGGCAGGAAAACCAAUUAGGAAGCAGUUGCAACUGUCCAGGAAAAUGAUGCUAUGCCACCCAAAUCAUCCUGUUCUUAAAAUAACGUGCUCAUCAUCUUGCGUCGUUUUAUUCCUUUUAUUUCUGGGGCUAGAAAAAUCACUUAGGCCUCCAUGACUCAGAAUCCCUCCCUAUUAAUAGAAGAUGACAAAAUACUCACCUUACCUCACAUAGGGAGGUCUGUGAGAUGCUUAUAAUUGUAGCCAGGAAGGAGGGGGCAAUGUUAUUCUAAAUGCCAAUGGUUUAAUUCCACUCCAGGAGAGAAACUGCCUUUUGCCUCUUACUUUUAUUAUAAAAAUCCCAGCCCCACAGAAAAGCAGAAAGCCCAGUGAAAGCAUCAGAAGUGCACCCUGGAGAGAAAAGCCACGGCAGAAGUUUCCAGUGCUUACCAUGCUUGCAACAUGCUUGGUUGCAAAAGUGAGAUUUUGUAAAGAAAGCCUGUCGCUCCAUCGUUUCCCAUUACAAGCAAAAGUGUAAGGAGUGUUCCUUCUAUCGUUCCUGUUGUGGCAGCGGGGGUGGGGAGCAUCGGACACUCGCAGAAGGAGUUACACGCGGUCAUUUAAGUGAAGAGCUUUCAGGUUGUGCUCGCUUUCUUGGGUCUUGGAGUCUGUCCUCUUAGCAAUGGGCACCUGGUCAUGCCUUUUCCAUCUGCUCCCUGGCCCUUUCCCGCAAUGAGAUCUCCAAAUCACUGCCCCAGACGACAUCCGAACUCUCUCGUCUCUUUGGAAAAGUGUCACAGAAAGCACUGCUGACUGAAAAUGCUAUAAAUUUUGCCCAAAUCACUUUGUCUUCUACCUCUUAAACAAAUCUAUGCUCGAUAUACCUGCUAAGUCGGUGCAAGAUAUUCUGAGGGAUAAAAAGAUAAGUCACAUGGGGGACCCUCUCCCCUCCCAAAGCUAAGGGUGGGAUUGUGACAUAAGAGAGAAUGUCUCGAACGUAGUAUUCAGCAGGCUCUUAGGACAAUUCAAAGUUCUAGAUCCAAAGGGACGGUCAUGUUGGAUGACCGACGUGUUCAUUCUUCCAUCCACAGCACUUGUCUUUAUAUAGAUCAACUACAUGGUUACAGACUGAUAUAGUAAGGGGGCAUGUCAGGACCACCUAAAGAGAAGAUGAUAUAUGGUGCUUUCUGAGGUGCAUUCACCUAAGUAAUAAAUGGUCAUGGUUUAUGAGCCACUGAACGGAACAGAGGUAGAACAAGGCAGCUGAUGAAUUUUCUUUACGAUCCAUUUGUGCCAAGAACGUGAGAAAGAGAAGAGUUUCCUGCUCACAGAAGGCCAGUGUGCUGCCCUACAAGUUUGUCCUGGUCCCACUUUUGAUUCCAAACCGGAAGCCUGCAGAAGGAUGAGGGUGCGACAGUCAAGGAAACGAUCUGUGUCAGAGCAUCCACACUAACGCCCGAUCUACCCAUCACCUGUCAACACAAGGCCAGAUAAAAAGUGCAUACGUACUGCUACUCGAGAGCCAUGAAAAAACUGAAAUACACAAUUACAUAAAUUACAUCUA